UACGGGGGGAGCAAGCGUUGUUCGGAUUUACUGGGCGUAAAGGGCGCGUAGGCGGCGCAACAAGUCACUUGUGAAAUCUCCGGGCUUAACCCGGAGCGGUCAAGUGAUACUGUCGUGCUAGAGUGCGGAAGGGGCAACUGGAAUUCUCGGUGUAGCGGUGAAAUGCGUAGAUAUCGAGAGGAACACCUGCGGCGAAGGCGGUUGCCUGGAGCUUUGCUGACGCUGAGGCGCGAAAGCGUGGGGAGCAAACAGG
rnacentral:rRNA from 1 species